rnacentral:misc_RNA from 1 species
GAAAGAUCAAGCCAUUUCCAUUAAUUAGCAAUUUAGCAUCCAUAAAAAUAAGUACACCCAUUAUCGGUUUUUUUUUUUAAUUUCUACAUAAUUUUACACAAUAAUUAUAUUAUAUAAUAUAUUGUCUUGCUCAAAGCUCAUCAUGUAAAAUAUUUAUGGGGGGCAUCAAUGGAGUUGAUGUGGACUGAUAAUGGCAAUAUAUAUUAUCUGUAGCCAUUAAUUAUCUCUCCAAAAUACUAGAGUCUUCAAGUCAAGCAGCAGCCAGAGUCUCACUUUUCCUAGAAGCAGCAGCAGCAGCCGCCUUGGAGCUUGAUGAUGUUGUGGAUGGUGAUGCAUGGUGAUCUUCUUUCUUUGAUGCCAUAAUAACAACACCACUCAACUUUUCUUUUCUCUCAUCAUUCUUCAUCUGUUGUUCUCUGCACUCUACACUACAAAAAGCCGUAUCCCCUCUGUACAUGUAAAUAUCUUUCCCAUGAGCCAACCGGCGUUUACAAAGGCCACAAGUCCUCAAGAAAUGAGCAGUUUCCAAGAAAUCACCAGAGCUUCUCCUUUGGUUAUUCCUUGGAGACAGCAUGGUUGGCAAGAAACGCUGAUCAUAUAAGCCAUUACUAUUACCAUCAAAACCACUCAUGUUGUAGUAGUUGCUAUAAUAACUUAGACACUCUUCCUCAGUUCCCACCAGUGCAUGAUGAGGAUCUCCGAUCAUCUGGUGGUUUUGGUUACUCCCAUGAUCAUCGGACGACGGCAUCUCCACGGCAUCCACGUUAGGAAGAUCAACGGUGAUGCCGGACACACUUGUAGUUCUUCUGAUGGGUGGACGAGGACGCUUUCUUAGCUGCAUCCUCUUCGAGAGAGAGAGAGAGAGAAGAUCGAGUGAGUUUUGGAGGUAGCUAGUGAAAAUGGAAGGCAAGGAGAGAAGAUAAACGGAGGAGAGUGAGAGCGAAUCUUGGCCGUUGCUUGCGGGCACCGUGUCCUAAGUCCUAACAAGUCCACGUCAUUCCCUCUCCUUUCCUACAAUGCUUAGCU